UACGUAGGGUGCAAGCGUUGUCCGGAUUUAUUGGGCGUAAAGAGCUCGUAGGCGGUUCAGCAAGUCGGGUGUGAAACCUCCAGGCUCAACCUGGAGACGCCACCCGAUACUGCUGUGACUUGAGUCCGGUAGGGGACCACGGAAUUCCUGGUGUAGCGGUGAAAUGCGCAGAUAUCAGGAGGAACACCGGUGGCGAAGGCGGUGGUCUGGGCCGGAACUGACGCUGAGGAGCGAAAGCGUGGGGAGCGAACAGG
rnacentral:rRNA from 1 species